GAAACACGGACCAAGGAGUCUAACAUAUAUGCGAUUAUGUUGGUGUUGUUAAACCAUACAUGAGCAAUGAAAGUAAGCGGUGCCAACCGUAAGGUGCAGCAUCGGCCAGUUGUGAUCCUCUGGAGAAGCGUACUGGCUGUGAGCAUAUCUGUUAGGACCCGAAAGAUGGUGAACUACGCUUGGGUAGGGUGAAGCCAGGGGAAACUCUUGUGGAAGCCCGAAGCGGUACUGACGUGCAAAUCGUUCGUCAAACUUGAGUGUAGGGGCGAAAGACUAAUCGAACCAUCUAGUAGCUGGUUCCCUCCGAAGUUUCUCUCAGGAUAGCAAGCACAGUUAAAGCAGUUUUUUUGUAUUUUCUCAAUUAGGUAAAGAAUCAAUGAUUAGAAGCAUCUGGGGGCUUUAUUAGUGUUCUCGACUUAGUUCUCAAACUCUAAAUAUUUGUAAUAACUCGGUAUUCCUUAACUGA
rnacentral:rRNA from 12 species